rnacentral:lncRNA from 1 species
GCACUGAUUGCUGUCACACUGUUAGGCUGGCCCCAUAAUUCACUUAAAUGAAUGGUUUUGUAUUCUGUUUUACUUGAAGAUGGAAGAGAAGCCAACUUAAGGUGCCAUUGUCUGUCCCUCGCGAUUGUCUCGCCAGCAAGAACAACGCAGGACACUCAGAUCCUUCUGCAGUAAAGCUUUAAUGCAUCUUGAGAGAGAGAGCAUAAGCUUACGGAGCGGAGACCCCCGAGCCAAGAAUCCCGUCCCCUAAUAAAGGCUCAUAAAACUCUGAUCGGUGCGUGUAC